rnacentral:snRNA from 1 species
GUCCCUUUGGGGACAUCCGAUAAAAUUGGAAUGAUACAAAGAAGAUUAGCAUGGCCCCUGCACAAGGAUGACACGCACAAAUCGAGAAAUGGUCCAAUUUUUU